UGACGAAGCGGGACGGGCGAGUAUGUCUAGAACUGCUGAUGAGGGGAUACUACUGAACGGUAGCUAUACGAUACGUCGCAGACCAAGAGGGGGACCUUCGGGCCUCUUGCAUCAAUGUGCCCAAUGGAUUACUAUAGUGGUACGGUCACUAGGAAUCCCUACUGGUCUGAGAGGAUGACCAGCCACACUGGAACUGAGACACGGUCCAGACUCCUACGGGAGGCAGCAGUGGGGAAUAUUGCACAAUGGGCGCAAGCCUGAUGCAGCCAUGCCGCGUGUAUGAAGAAGGCCUUCGGGUUGUAAAGUACUUUCAGCGGGGAGGAAGGUGUGGGAAACCAAAUGACUCCGCAAAACCGUAACCCCCAAACAGGCCCGGCGGGUAAACUCACGGGAAGGGGUGGACAACAGCGCCAAAUCCCGGGCAAAUUUNACUCGGGCCUGAAAAAGACGACACGCCAAGGGCGCGGCCCUGGGCACNAAUUNCAGGAUAUGCGUGAAAUUCCCCCANCGGGGGGANACAAAACCUAUGGGGAACNCAGGNUUUACAGCAAAAGCCAGGGGAGACAGNGUACAAAGCAACAGGGAACCAGCGAGGGGCAA
rnacentral:rRNA from 1 species